UCUCUUUCUCUCUCUCAUAUAAUCAUAUUCUCUCACUCAUUUUGGAGAAACCCUAUUUAGGGUUGACCAUACCCCUUCUCUUGAGAAAUGAGCCUCUCCUUAUUCUUCCACAGCUUUCUUGAACUGCGCCGAAUUGUACGUCGCCGCACCGGAGGCGAUGCAAUCGUAUGCGGUUCAAUAAAGCUGUGGGAAGAUACGGUGAGGCUCACCCGGAAUUCCACUUUCAUUGCAUGCUUUAUUUCCCCUUUUUCUUGCUCCAUUCAAUUCCUCCAAAUCCACAGUUGAUUUCUCGGUUGAUUUAAAAUUACUUGUUCUUGAUUUUUUUUAAAUUAAAAAAAGGGGGGGGGGGUUAUUGAAUUGAUGUUUUUGAGAAUUAAUGGUGACAGGCCCUCAACCACACAAGAAGGAUAAGAGAAAAAAAGGAGAAAGAUCUGUGGGCUGUUUUAUUUGAGAUCUUUACAUCCAAAUAAUACCAAAAAAAAUAUGUAUAACCAAAAGGAGUGAGGGGUUGUAUUGGGUAGCUAUGAUUGGUGGGGACUGGUAAUUACAUAAUUUUUUAUUGUACAGAGAUGGGAAGAAUGGACCACAUAGAAUUGAUGAAAUGGAAGCAAGAGAAGCUAUGGAUGGAAAUGGCAAAGCAUGUUGCUGAAAAUGGGGGAUGCCUUUGUAAGUGCGAGGUAGAUAUAGCAUUUACCAAUGGUGAUUUCACCUUGGUAAGGGGUAAAAAGUCAAAAUGUUUGCAGAAGAAAACCAAACAAGUUGAAGAAAACUAGGUUGCCACCCCCGACCCCCACACAGGUAAAAAGACAUUCUAGUAGUAUGAAAACAACAAUCUUGUUUUGUCUUGUUAGGGCCCUAAUGCCUCAAUAUCAGAUACUAAUGUUCCUGCCCCUCCUCUUUAAUAUAUCAACCCCACUCUCUAUUGGGAUAAUCAACAUCUUAGUGGUAUCAUAUUAUAAUUAAUUAGUGCUGCUAACUUUCUUUUCUUUACAGCAAGGAAAUUAUUCAAUCAAUUAGUGCAUGGCUUGCUUUCUUCUCUUUGCUUUAAUUACCUCUUUCUGUGUGUGUGGUGAAAGAUCAAUAUAUAUGGGCAUGGAUGAAUGUAUUUUUAAUAAAUUAUCAAGUAUAUAAAUAUAGUUGGUUUUUUUUCUAUUAAAGUGAAAAGUAUUUGUCUGAUGUGCAACGCAUUUCUGCUUUUGGUUAUAAAGAUAAGAGGUAAAAGGUUGAUCUCCCUCUGCUCUUUAUCCAUUUAUGGUUGAAAAGUGGAAAUUAAAAGACAGGAAAAAAAGUAGUGAUUUGAUCCAAGGCGAUCUCGCUGCUGAUAUGGGUGUCUUGGAUGAAUUCAGUAAGAAACCCAAAACCCUUUUUCCAUAAUCAUUAAUUGAAAUCCAAAUCACAUUCUUAAUUGAAAUUGAAUAAUGGGAAGUUGGUUGUGCGUAGAUAGCAACGCGACGGCGUCGAUGAUGCUCGCUGUCUCUCUCAUAAUUGCGUCGUGUGUUGGCAAUCUUUAUCUCCUUUGAUCACGGAUGCUGCUCCCUUUCCUCAUUCAUUUGUUUCGUACUAUGUUAUGUACACUCCAUUUCUACUCAACGCCUCUUUUCAAUCUAAGCUUCACCACUUCGGAUUCCGCCUCUGCCUUCCCAAUUCAACUUCACUGUCACUGUCACGUCUUUCAAAUAUUCCACCAAUAUCUUAUUAAUGCUCCCAUAGGUGCACAUCCACCAAAAAAUUACUCCCUCCGUCCCACCCAAGGGAAACAAACGACUCACCUUCGUUGGGACGGCUUCAAAAGGAAUGGAGGGAGUACUUAUUAUAAUUAACUGAAGGUAAAUAAGCUCACAUUAUAAAUAAUGUUAAUUAGUGAUAUAUUUGAGAGUUUAAUGUUGGAAUUAUGUAUGAAUAAGCUAUCAUUGCUAAAUUGCUAAAAUUAAUUAGGGAUAUAUAGUAAGAUCAAGAGCCUCAUAGUUUGAUGGUAUCAAUUGCAUACGAGUUGAUGGCUUUUUUAUUUAAUAAUGAUGAUAAUAUUAACAACAGCGGGGGAUAAAGAUUCGUAUAAAGACGGUACACAUAAAUUCAUAUUUCAAACAUUUACUAUAUGAUUUGAAUGUGAAUAUAGGUACGUAUUAUUUUGAUGUCGACAUAGUUUUGGUGGGGAGGGAUAAGAAACAACCUGAUCCGGGGAGACGUGAGAAGAUUAAUUUACAUGCAUUUGUAGUGCUGUCAAAGCAAAAUUUAGAAUGAUUAUAUAUGAGCAAAAUUUUUGUAUAGCCGUAAAAUGGCCAUUGUUUUUUUUUUUUUAAUUAAUAAAUAAUUAAAUUUAAAGGUUACGUGAUAUUUUUUUUUUUGAAACCACAAUGUUACAAUUUCCAUUAUGGAGUACUAUCUAAAUUGCACGACAUUAUAAUUACAAGAUAGAGUAAAUAUGUGCAAAUUAACCAUAAUGUACCUUCAUUUCGAAUUGGCAAGGAAACAAAAUCAGUCAUUAAUUUUCCAUCCUUUGUUUAAUAGUUCCAUCUAUCCUUGCAUUAUUUUAUCUUUUAGUUUCUUGGAGUUUAUUUUAUUUUAUUUUAUUUUCUAGGUCUACAUGUAUAGUUUUCCAGAUUUAUUUUUCAUUUUUUGGGUUAUUUUUAAUUCCAGUAUUUAUCUUUUAUUGUUUAUAAUUUUGGGGGAUCUUUUAAGUUUUGGUUUAUUUCAAGGUGGGUUUAUUUUUAAUUUUUUAUUGUUAAUUUUUAAUUUAUAAUUGCAUAUAAAUUAUUCAACUUUAAUUCAACAAAUUGUUAUUUUAUACACGAACUUUCAAAUAUGUAUUAAAAUUACACAUUUUUUUUAUAUACUCGCUCAGUUUUCGACCAUAUUUUAGGCAUAAAACAAUGUCGUUUUCAUUCGACUCUACAAUACAUCGAUUCUAUUUUUUUACAAUAUCAUAUUUAUGUCACACGAGCAUAUUUAUGCCAUGUCACCACGAAAAAAAUCGGUGACUAUGCAAAAUGAGAAAAAAAAAAAAAAUAGGUGAGUAAUUUUAAUAUAGAUUUUAAAGUUUGUUUGGAAAAUUAGAAUUUGUUGAAAGUUAAGUCAUUGUAUGCAAUUAACCUUUUCAAAUAAGGGUUUAUUUUAAAAUGUUUUUAAUUAAUCUUUUUUUCAAGGAUUUUUAAUUAAUUUUUUAUUAGGCUUAAAAUGUUUUGAUAUUUUUAGAUUAUUUACACAUAUUUUUAAAUAUAUAUUUUUCUUAUUUAGAGUAUCCCUUCUAGACUAUUACACA